UUACGACCACAUCACGUUGAAACACAGGUUCCCGUACGAUCAGCGAAGUUAGGUAACGUCGAGUCUAGUCAGUACAUAGAUGGGUGACCGCUUGAGAAUACCAGG